rnacentral:lncRNA from 1 species
GACGCUGAUUUCUCUAUUCCUAUUAGUUGAUCCACCCACUUCAUUCUUCCCCCUUAUAUAUUAACCUUCUGUCUUGUUGAUUCGGUCCUCUAUUUUGACCAGAUGUGGCCUGUUCUGCACGGCAUUCAGUUUAGAUUUUCUUUUAACGUGGAUUUAGUUUUUUAUUGUAUUUUGUGAGGUUAUUUUUCUUGCUGUGCAGAACUAAUAUUCUUGUGCUAGGGAUUCAGUUCCCGUCUUGCACGGAUUCAGUUUAUGCGCCACUGCUCCUAGAGGGUGCAUUUGAGUGGUGAGAAAGUGGAUGUUAAUAACUUCAUAUGGCAAUCUGAUUUUUUACGAGUGAAUUCUUUUGUUUUAUUCAGGCAAGCCUGAUUUAUAUGCAAUCACAUGGUUAAUGCUAUGUUGCAGUAUAUGCAUGCGAAGCACUGUUUUGAUUGACUUGCAAUUAUAGGUAUGUGAUAAAUUGGAAGAAAUUUAUGCCAUGUAUACCAUGUACUAACUGAAGUUUUUGCAGCCGUGUCGAAUGUAGAACCCUUGAAAAAUUUCUUUUCUGAUUCUUAUUUUCUCUGAGCUAAGACCUUGAAUCUACUUAAAGACAAACAUACAUACAUUUCCACAAAUUAUAUUAUGAUCCAUGUCAUAAGAGUUUUUGUCUACCAAACUAUCUACCUGUCAUGAACUGGAGCUAUUGUUUUUAUUUUUGUGUACAUAUUGUGUAUGAAAAUUUUCUUUUAGAGAAAGGAAAGUUUAGUAUGCUAAACAAGAGGACAGACUUACAAAUAAAGAGGUGAAAUUAAUUUGUUUACAUUAUAGCUUUUGUUCAGUUGAUUGAGUUUCACGGUGCAGGUGGGCAUGUAUGUGGGCAUGAAAAUAGUUGAAGGAAGAUUCAGUGGUUGAGCAUUAGGUACGUGCAAUUGCGUUGAUGCUCCUUCUCAAGAUCAUGCCACAAUUGGAGGAAAUUUUCCUACUAAUCUGCAACGAAUUUUAUUGGAACUAAACCAGCAUCCUACUAUUCUGCAAUCAAUUUUAGUUCACUCUUGUCUUACUAUAUAUUUUGUAGGUUAAUUCACUAUGAAUAUUUUCAUGGGCCUUAAGAUUAACCUAUCCUUAUUCCAUUGCACAAUCCCAAACCAUGUUGAAAUAUUAGUUCAAAGAUUCAUUGUGGAUUCACUGGAUUCAUGGUAUCAUUUUAGAACAGGUUUUUGCUAUGAUAAUAUACUUAAGUAGGCGUGUCUGAUUCUUUUUCGGUAAGAAGUAUUGGUGCAGAGCUUGAAGAAAACCUUGAGAUGGUCCAACUUUUCAUAAGUGUGCUAUUGUUAGAUAGUGAUUUGUAUGGUAUCUCAUAUUCUCCUUUCAGGAAAGGAGCUAUUGUUAGCACAACAACACCUGUAUUAAGGUGAUGCACUUUAUGUGUCAUUAUCGAUCAACGGGGACUCUACCAAGAUGAAGGCAUUGCCUUUAAAAGCACUAUGUCCAAUGCUUCCAUGUGUAAAAUUCAAUGACAUUGUGAUCAGUUAGAUUGCUGAGUUGUUUCGUGGCCCCUCACAAUUAUAAAUGAUGAUUCAUGUAGUAUUCAAAGCCUUCAUGUGACAUUGUUCUACUUGUUAAGAUUGAAGUUUAUUUGUCAAUCUGGCGUUAUUCUCAUGCAUGUAUAACAUGUGUUUGUUCUUAAAUCGGAUAAUAUAUUACCCUUUUUUCCUUAUAUUUUUGGGAAAAUUUGUUGUCCAUCAUGUAAUAACUAUGAAGAAUAAUAUUAUGAUUGUACUUUUUUUUCAAUGCUUUAAAAGCCAGUGUUUACCCCAUGCGACAGUAUAUGGCCUUUCUGAGUUAUACCUCUCAGAAACUUUACAAUUUUGUUCCAAGUUUGCAUCUCGGCCAUGUUCAUUUGGACAAUUCUGCAUUAUAAAAUAG